GCGGGCGGGCGGUGGGCUGCCGGCGGCCAUCUUGUGGCAGGCGCCGCCGCGGCGAGGGCGCGGGGUCGGGCCGGAGGUGCGGCUGAGGGGCUGCUCCGGGGCUCGCACCCGCCUCCACGGCCUUCGCUACGGUGUGGCCCUGACCGGGAACCGGGCGCCUCGAGGCGCCUGUGCCCGCCUCAGAGGCAGAAAGGUUUUAUUUCUCACUGGAGUCUCCCAGAGUCCAUUCUUGGAGGUAGCCUUAUGAGGAGUAAUCUUACUUCAAAGCUCAGCCAUCAAGAUUUGGAAAAACUGAUGAGAAAAAGACUGUGUGGGGAACUCACGGAAUGCUGAGAAACAAGGAUACAUCAAACUUUACAAGGGAUUAUGAAAUCUGAGCUUGUUCUUCACAAGUGUGUCCAAACAGAUCUACCCUGAUCUAAGGUACAUGAUGGAUUUUAACACCAACAAUCCUUUGCUGCAUGGAGUUAAGCUGUUUUAACUCCUGAAAUCAGCUUGGCUUCAAACAGAGCCAGCACGAUUGUUUACAAAAUAAGCAGUUUGAGCUUUUCAACUCUCUUUUUAUUUGAAUACUACAAGCUGAUUUUUUCAAGGCAGCUGUCUCUCUUGCUCUUCUACCUUAUUGUUUUUAUUCUGUGGUUUAAAAUGCAACACUUGACAUUUCCUUACCUAAGGACUUGAAAACCUCUGGGCUAGCAUACUUGCCAUCAAAGUAGACUGUGUUGUUCUGGGAGUCAAAGGCACGGCACAUUCUGAUGAACACAACCUCUAAAGACCCUAAAACAGAAACAAUGUAUGUUUGACUAUUUAAGUAGAGACUUCAGUUGCAAGUGAGGAUUCAAAAACUUCAAAAUGUUCUGCCUUCAGUAUAGAUUGAGUAGAGUAGUAGGUUUCUGUAGUGCAACAAAGAAUAGUUCGAUUUGAUAGUACAAUUAACAUAAUUCCCAUAAACCCCUUUAGAACUUUUUGUAAAAGCAACUUAGUUAAUCCUAAUAAAUAUUUUUCAUUAGAAUAAUGAAGUCUCUGAAGUCAAAGCAGUUCAUUUAGAUUAUGCUCAUGAAGCUUUAACAGCUUUGUCCAAGUAAUCUGCAUUACUUCUACAACAUCUUGUGUAGAACAAUCUGGAUUUUUACCUACAAAUAUGUUAUUCACUGUUAGUACGCCAAAUCAAAAAAAUUAAUCCAACUUCUUCAUCCUUACACACUUAUUGCUCCCUUUGUUCAUAAUGAAAAUUUCAUACAUAGACUGGAACUCAUCAUAGAAUGGUUUGAGUUGGAAGGGACCUUAAACAUCAUCUAGUUCCAACCCCCCUGCAUUGGCAGCAUACAUCUUCCACUAAAUGGAACUCAUUCCAUCCAGAGUAACCAAGAAAACAUAGUAUUUCAAACAGAAGACACACAGAAUUUGUACGUUUGUUCUUGUAGUAUUUUAAAUUAUCAUUGUACAACAUAUGUAUAUAUGUAUACAUAAUAACUGUAUACAGCUAGCACUUUCCUCAGUCAAAACUAAUAGAAGCAGACCUUAAAAUUGACCCACAUACCUGCUU